AUGUUUAUUUCUAAUUUUCUUCAGGUGCCCAUGCUGGCCUUCUUUGACUUUUCAUGUAGAGUGGCUUUCUUUGACUUGAGCCCAUCCAUUCGUGCAAGCAAAAAGGUGCUGAUCGAUACCCUCCGUGCUAAACCACAACACUAUCCAACACAAAACCCUAAUUUCCCGCCAAAAGAACACGAAACCCUAAUUACCACCACUUCAUUUCGACUACAGCCCCAUGCUCCAUGCACGCAUCAAAACAAAAUCUACAGCACAAACAUCAGCUCCCAAUCAUGCAUGCGACUGCUCGGCGAGGCCAUGAUAGCGGAAUGA
rnacentral:rRNA from 1 species